GUGUCCCAGGUCUAAAUCAGGCCCUGAUCUGUGCUGCUGUCACUAAAUACAACCUGUGACGUUGAUAUAGACCAGGGGGUAUUUUCAAAUGUUACCGUUCGAUAUCUGGACUACUGCUACUUUUCUGUUGUACCUGAUCAUUAAUAUCACCCCACCUGGUGUCCCAGGUCUAAAUCAGGCCCUGAUCAUUAAUAUCACCCCACCUGGUGUCCCAGGUCUAAAUCAGGCCCUGAUCAUUAAUAACACCCCACCUGGUGUCCCAGGUCUAAAUCAGGCCCUGAUUAGAGGGGAAUCACCCACCUGGUGUCCCAGGUCUAAAUCAGGCCCUGAUUAGAGGAGAAUCACCCACCUGGUGUCCCAGGUCUAAAUCAGGCCCUGAUUAGAGGGGAAUCACCCACCUGGUGUCCCAGGUCUAAAUCAGGCCCUGAUUAGAGGGGAAUCACCCACCUGGUGUCCCAGGUCUAAAUCAGGCCCUGAUUAGAGGGGAAUCACCCACCUGGUGUCCCAGGUCUAAAUCAGGCCCUGAUUAGAGGAGAACAAUGGGAAAAAAGCAGUUGAACUGGCUUCGAGGUCCAGAUUUGAAUUUGAGCAAUAUAGCCUAUUCAUACAUAAUAAAUCGUUAUUACCAUGUUAUACGUUGUUUAUGCUGGAUGAUGUCAAUAAAGAACUUGAGAACCCA
ensembl:lncRNA